AAGCACGAUUGCUAGUGAUGCCAUAGGCAACACAGAACUAUCGCUUCCUUCUGUGUAGAAGAGAAGAUAGUCGGAAACUACCGAAAGAAAUGUGAAGGUCCUGUGAAGCAAGGACUUCGUCAAGCGGCUUUAAGUGGCGUGGGCUAUGGAUUCUCAUUUGCAUUGCUCUUCUGCUUUUAUGCUGUAUCGUUUUAUGUCGGAGCUUGCUUUAUACAUGAUGGGACAGCAGAUGUUGGGCAAGUCUUCAAGGUCUUCUUUGCUCUAACAAUGAUGGCUGUCGGGGUUUCGCAGUCCAGUUCCAUGGCUCGUGAUUUUAGCAAUGUGGAAGAUGCAGCUGUUUCCAUUUUUGGGAUUAUUGAUAGGAAAUCCAUGAUUGAUGCAAGCUCCGAGAAAGGAACGACACUAGGGAUAGUGGAGGGUAAUAUAGAGUUGCAGCACGUUAGCUUCAAGUACCCAGCUCGGACUGACGUGCAAAUUUUCAGAGAUAUGUGCUUGAGAAUACCGUCUGGCAAGAUGAAGCAUCAGAUGUGAAAGAGUGUGCUUUGAGAGAAGAACUCACAAUGUUGUUGGAUGAUCACGACAAUCUAUUAAUGCCGACAUUGAUAAGAAGCUUGCGGGAACAAAUACCGCUUUGUAGUGACUCAACGAUAGCAUUGCCAUGCUCAAUAUGUGCUUUGAUCGGUUGGUCACUCAACCCCCGAACAACAGCCAUAUGGACCCUCAUGGUGCAGCCUAUGAACAUGAUGAGUCUGUCGCCGAUGAUGAAAUUUUAAGGCAAGAACAAGAUGUCUUUG